GAGGGUGUAGCUCAGUGGUAGAGGGUGUGUUCAGCAUGCACGAGGUCCUGGGUUCCAACCCCAGCCCCUCCA
rnacentral:tRNA from 1 species